rnacentral:rRNA from 1 species
UACGUAGGGUGCAAGCGUUGUCCGGAAUGAUUGGGCGUAAAGCGUCCGCAGGUGGCUAUGUAAGUCUGCUGUUAAAGAGUGAGGCUCAACCUCAUAAGAGCAGUGGAAACUACAUGGCUAGAGUGCGUUCGGGGCAGAGGGAAUUCCUGGUGUAGCGGUGAAAUGCGUAGAUAUCAGGAAGAACACCGGUGGCGAAAGCGCUCUGCUAGGCCGCAACUGACACUGAGGGACGAAAGCUAGGGGAGCGAAUGGG